GCAAACUUGGUCAUUUAGAGGAAGUACAAGUCGUAACAAGGUAUCCGUAGGUGAACCUGCGGAUGGAUCAUUACCAAGGAUUCCAUCCUACGUACUGUGCACUGUUUUGGCUGUGACUGUUGGCUGCCGGCUCUGAAGAUUCAGUAGCGGGUGAUUCCGCCUGUUCCAAUGGCGGCCGGUAGUCGACUGAAACUAUACGUUUUACCAUUAGACUUAGGCAAAUUUUAUGAACCUAGUAGAACUUUUAGCAAUGGAUCUCUUGGUUCUCGCAUCGAUGAAGAACGCAGC
rnacentral:misc_RNA from 1 species